rnacentral:rRNA from 1 species
AUGAACGCUGGCGGCGUGCCUCAUCCAUGCAAGUCGAGCGAACGGACGAGAAGCUUGCUUUUCUGAUGUUAGCGGCGGACGGGUGAGUAACACGUGGAUAACCUACCUAUAAGACUGGGAUAACUUCGGGAAACCGGAGCUAAUACCGGAUAAUAUUUUGAACCGCAUGGUUCAUAAGUGAAAGACGGUCUUGCUGUCACUUAUAGAUGGAUCCGCGCUGCAUUAGCUAGUUGGUAAGGUAACGGCUUACCAAGGCAACGAUGCAUAGCCGACCUGAGAGGGUGAUCGGCCACACUGGAACUGAGACACGGUCCAGACUCCUACGGGAGGCAGCAGUAGGGAAUCUUCGGCAAUGGGCGAAAGCCUGACGGAGCAACGCCGCGUGAGCGAUGAAGGUCUUCGGAUCGUAAAACUCUGUUAUUAGGGAAGAACAUAUGUGUAAGUAACUGUGCACAUCUUGACGGUACCUAAUUAGAAAGCCACGGCUAACUACGUG